rnacentral:rRNA from 1 species
UAAAGGCAUAAGGGAGCUUGACUGCGAGACCUACAAGUCGAGCAGGGUCGAAAGACGGACUUAGUGAUCCGGUGGUUCCGCAUGGAAGGGCCAUCGCUCAACGGAUAAAAGCUACCCCGGGGAUAACAGGCUUAUCUCCCCCAAGAGUUCACAUCGACGGGGAGGUUUGGCACCUCGAUGUCGGCUCAUCGCAUCCUGGGGCUGUAGUCGGUCCCAAGGGUUGGGCUGUUCGCCCAUUAAAGCGGUACGCGAGCUGGGUUCAGAACGUCGUGAGACAGUUCGGUCCCUAUCCGUCGUGGGCGUAGGAAAUUUGAGAGGAGCUGUCCUUAGUACGAGAGGACCGGGAUGGACAUACCUCUGGUGUACCAGUUGUCGUGCCAACGGCAUAGCUGGGUAGCUAUGUGUGGACGGGAUAAGUGCUGAAAGCAUCUAAGCAUGAAGCCCCCCUCAAGAUGAGAUUUCCCAACUUCGGUUAUAAGAUCCCUCAAAGAUGAUGAGGUUAAUAGGUUCGAGGUGGAAGCAUGGUGACAUGUGGAGCUGACGAAUACUAAUCGAUCGAAGACUUAAUCAA